rnacentral:rRNA from 1 species
CGUGGUGGGAGACAGUGUCAGGCGGGCAGUUUGACUGGGGCGGUCGCCUCCUAAAAGGUAACGGAGGCGCUCAAAGGUUCCCUCAGAAUGGUUGGAAAUCAUUCAUAGAGUGUAAAGGCAUAAGGGAGCUUGACUGCGAGACCUACAAGUCGAGCAGGGUCGAAAGACGGACUUAGUGAUCCGGUGGUUCCGCAUGGAAGGGCCAUCGCUCAACGGAUAAAAGCUACCCCGGGGAUAACAGGCUUAUCUCCCCCAAGAGUUCACAUCGACGGGGAGGUUUGGCACCUCGAUGUCGGCUCAUCGCAU